rnacentral:misc_RNA from 1 species
GCAACACCAGCCUACCAUAACCAUGCCUUUCUCACUAGAGAUCGAGUCUCCAGUCGCCGCCUCAAGGUUGUUCAAGGCAGCCCUCGUCGACUGGCACAACCUCGGCCCUAAGCUCGCACCCGAGAUUUUACUCAGUGGUUCCAUCGUCGAGGGUGAGAGUGGGACCGUCGGCGGUGUCAGGCAACUCAAUUUCUCCCCAGUUAUGCCAUUCAGCUACGUCAAGGAGCGGUUGGACUUCAUCGACUACGAAAAGUUUGAGUGCAAGGUGAGUACCGUCGAAGGCGGCCAUAUAGGGACCAUUCUUGAAUCUGCCUCUGCACACUUUAAGUUUGAGCCCACCAGCAGUGGAGGGUGCAUCGCGAAGGUGGUGACAGAGACUAAACUCAAACCAGGAGCUGUUUCUGGCGAUGACGAAGCCAAGGCCAAGGAAUCGAUGGUGAAACUCUUCAAGGCUGCAGAAGCUUACCUCAUCGCCAAUCCCGAUUCAUAUGCUUAGAACCACUUGCAGAAUGAAAGAGACCGGC